UAGGGUUAGGGUUGGGUUAGGAGAAGGGUUAGAGUUAGGUUAGGAGUAGGGUUAAGGUUGGGUUAGGAGUAGGGUUAGGGUAGGGUUAGGUUACCUCUACCCUAACCCUACUCCUUACCUAACCCUACCCUAACCCUCCUCCUAACCCCACCCCUUCUCCUAACCUAACCCUACCAUAACCCAACCUUAACCAUACCCCUAACCCUACUCCUAACCUAAUCCUACACUAACUCUAACCCUAACCCUACACCUUACCUUACCCCUAACCCAACCC
rnacentral:sRNA from 1 species